UACGAAGGGUGCAAGCGUUAGUCGGAAUUACUGGGCGUAAAGCGUGCGUAGGCGGUUGGUUAAGUCGGAUGUGAAAGCCCUGGGCUCAACCUGGGAACGGCACUCGAUACUGGCCAGCUGGAGUAAGGUAGAGGAUGGUGGAAUUCCCGGUGUAGCGGUGAAAUGCGUAGAGAUCGGGAGGAACAUCUGUGGCGAAGGCGGCCAUCUGGACCAUUACUGACGCUGAGGCACGAAAGCGUGGGGAGCAAACGGG
rnacentral:rRNA from 1 species